rnacentral:rRNA from 1 species
AAGGAAUAUUGUGCAAUGGGCGAAAGCCUGACACAGCGACGCCGCGUGGGGGAUGAAUGCUUUCGGGUUGUAAACCCCUUUUCUCAGGGAAGAACAAUGACGGUACCUGAGGAAUAAGUCUCGGCUAACUACGUGCCAGCAGCCGCGGUAAUACGUAGGAGGCGAGCGUUAUCCGGAUUUACUGGGCGUAAAGCGGGCGUAGGCGGUCCUUCAAGUCGGAUGUAAAAUCUCCCGGCUCAACUGGGAGGGACCAUUCGAAACUGCUGGGCUUGAGGAUAGCAGAGGGAGGUGGAAUUCCCGGUGUAGUGGUGAUAUGCGUAGAUAUCGGGAGGAACACCAGUGGCGAAGGCGGCCUCCUGGGCUAUWUCUGACGCUGAGGCCCAAAAGCGUGGGGAGCGAACAGGAUUAGAUACCCUGGUAGUCCACGCUGUAAACGAUGGACACUAGGUAUGGGGA